AUUGAACGCUGGCGGCAUGCCUUACACAUGCAAGUCGAACGGCAGCACGGGGCAACCUGGUGGCGAGUGGCGAACGGGUGAGUAAUGCAUCGGAACGUACCUUUCAGUGGGGGAUAACGUAGCGAAAGUUACGCUAAUACCGCAUAUUCUGUGAGCAGGAAAGCAGGGGUUCGCAAGACCUUGCGCUGAUUGAGCGGCCGAUGUCAGAUUAGCUAGUUGGUGGGGUAAAGGCUCACCAAGGCGACGAUCUGUAGCGGGUCUGAGAGGAUGAUCCGCCACACUGGAACUGAGACACGGUCCAGACUCCUACGGGAGGCAGCAGUGGGGAAUUUUGGACAAUGGGGGCAACCCUGAUCCAGCCAUGCCGCGUGAGUGAAGAAGGCCUUCGGGUUGUAAAGCUCUUUCGGCCGGGAAGAAAUCGCACGGGCUAAUACCCUGUGUGGAUGACGGUACCGGAAUAAGAAGCACCGGCUAACUACGUGCCAGCAGCCGCAGUAAGAC
rnacentral:rRNA from 1 species